rnacentral:rRNA from 1 species
GAUGAACGCUGGCGGCGUGCCUAAUACAUGCAAGUCGAGCGAACAGACGAGGAGCUUGCUCCUCUGACGUUAGCGGCGGACGGGUGAGUAACACGUGGAUAACCUACCUAUAAGACUGGGAUAACUUCGGGAAACCGGAGCUAAUAACGGAUAAUAUAUUGAACCGCAUGGUUCAAUAGUGAAAGACGGUUUUGCUGUCAUUUAUAGAUGGAUCCGCGCCGCAUUAGCUAGUUGGUAAGGUAACGGCUUACCAAGGCAACGAUGCGUAGCCGACCUGAGAGGGGGAUCGGCCACAGUGGAGCUGAGACACGGUCCAGACUCCUACGGGAGGCAGCAGUAGGGAAUCUUCGGCAAUGGGCGAAAGCCUGACGGAGCAACGCCGCGUGAGUGAUGAAGGUCUUCGGAUCGUAAAACUCUGUUAUUGGGGAAGAACAAAUGUGUAAGUAGCUAUGCACGUCUUGACGGUACCUAAUCAGAAAGCCACGGCUAACUACGUG